rnacentral:lncRNA from 1 species
CACUGACCUCAAAUGAUGCUCUGCCAACCUUGUAGGUAAACUCCGUUUCCUUCAGUCUAAACUCAGAAGCUAGAGCAAACAAUCAUUUGGUAACAUUUGGCAAAGGAUGAAAGACAUUUGCCUCAGAAUUGAAGCCUUAGAUUUAGAAGAGGAACUAAGAAGAUUAUCUCAUGAGGAAAUGGAGGAAAGAAAUAAUCUCAA